CUCGUGGUGACAGCGUACGAUCAUUACGAUUUCCAACUCCCAAACCCUGUGAACAUACCUAUACGUUGCCUCGGCGGAUCAGCCCGGGGGCCGUAAAACGGGACGGCCCGCCCGAGGACCCUAAACUCUGUUUUUAGUGGGAACUUCUGAGUAAAACAAACAAAUAAAUCAAAACUUUCAACAACGGAUCUCUUGGUUCUGGCAUCGAUGAAGAACGCAGCAAAAUGCGAUAAGUAAUGUGAAUUGCAGAAUUCAGUGAAUCAUCGAAUCUUUGAACGCACAUUGCGCCCGCCAGUAUUCUGGCGGGCAUGCCUGUUCGAGCGUCAUUUCAACCCUCAAGCUCAGCUUGGUGUUGGGACUCGCGGUAACCCGCGUUCCCCAAAUCGAUUGGCGGUCACGUCGAGCUUCCAUAGCGUAGUAAUCAUACACCUCGUUACUGGUAAUCGUCGCGGCCACGCCGUUAAACCCCAACUUCUGAAUGUUGACCUCGGAUCAGGUAGGAAUACCCGCUGAACUUAAGCAUAUCAAUAACCGGAGGAAAGGC
rnacentral:rRNA from 1 species